rnacentral:pre_miRNA from 1 species
GAUAAUGAGUCGCAUCCGUCCUAAGUUUAUUAUGUGACCUACAGAUCAAAAAGAUAAAAUGAUUCUCUGGGCACAGGUAAACUUUGACGAGCGAGCUCACG